AUUGAACGCUGGCAGCAUGCUUUACACAUGCAAGUCGAACGGCAACAGGGUGCUUGCACCGCUGACGAGUGGCGAACGGGUGAGUAAUGCGUCGGAACGUGCCGAGUAGUGGGGGAUAACGCAGCGAAAGUUGUGCUAAUACCGCAUACGUACUGAGGUAGAAAGUGGGGGACCUUCGGGCCUCACGCUAUUCGAGCGGCCGACGUCUGAUUAGCUAGUAGGUGAGGUAAAGGCUCACCUAGGCGACGAUCAGUAGCGGGUCUGAGAGGAUGAUCCGCCACACUGGGACUGAGACACGGCCCAGACUCCUACGGGAGGCAGCAGUGGGGAAUUUAGGACAAUGGGCGAAAGCCUGAUCCAGCCAUGCCGCGUGUCUGAAGAAGGCCUUCGGGUUGUAAAGGACUUUUGUCAGGGAGGAAAUCCCUAGUGCUAAUAACACUGGGGGAUGACAGUACCUGAAGAAUAAGCACCGGCUAACUACGUGCCAGCAGCCGCAGUAA
rnacentral:rRNA from 1 species